GUAUAUUCGAAGAAAAACUUAUAGUAAAGGGAUUUAAACGUUUUAUAUAUUUACAUAUACAUAUACAUACAUAGAUAUAUUUAUAUAAAAGGUUUAAUCUCAUUUUCAUUUUAUAAUUAUAAUAUUCGAAGAGUAUAUAUAUGUAAAUCUAAAAUAUCGUAGUUUAGAUUUGUUAAAAUCAAUUGCAAAAAUCCAAUUCAAUCAAAAUCAAUUAAAUUCAAUUACAAUGCUCAUGUAUGUUACGGACAUACGCAUUAAAUUUUGAUAUUUCACACGUUUUUGAUAACGUUUUGGCAAUAAAGAUUAUGGAAAGUUUCUUCUUUAUACAACGUUCAGUUUUAAGUAUAUAAAGUACCUUUAUAAUAUUACUGCAAUUUCUCUAAGUAAAUUUAAUUUUGACUGAAUUAAAUAAUAAUUUUUUACUUUACUGAGAAUAUCAUACGUUUUACAUACAACUAUAAUAUUCAGAAACUGAGAGUAUAAGAUUAUUUUUCUGUAAGAUUUUUAAAUUCCUUAUAACCGUUGACUAAUUAGACUAAUUAGAAGCAGAAUCAAUAAAAUUUCUGUUGAAUUUGACAGCAAACUUAAGUUAUAAAAUUCGAAAUUCUCCUUCGACAGUUCCUCGCACUUCCUUAUUACUCAACUCAAAAUAUAAACGAUGAAAUCUUAAUUAUUGGUGAAGCGAUUCAGGCUCAAAAUAUGCCUUGCUGGAUACAUAGUAGCCGAUGAAGCUAUCUUUAUAUUACAUUUUAAAAGACAGAAAUCACCGUACGCGGGACAAGAUGGAUAUCCCGGGACAGUCGUAUAAAGUGUGGCUUUAUAAGGUUCUUUUACAACCAUGAUCUUCGCGCUUAUCCGAUCGUCGUGGAUCACCGCGAACGGUUCCCUUACGAUCGUUCUAACGCGACUUCCGCAAUAACACGUAGAAUGACUGCGCUGUUCAGAGUCGUAUCUUUGACGCGCCUUUAAAAUUUUAACAUCAGGUGUAUAAACGCUACGUUCUUUCAAAGAUGCACACGUGGACGAUUAACUAAGUUUCUAAAAUGUUAUUGGCACGUGUAUGUACGUUCUGAAGUACGUAGUCGGCAUUCGUAUCCUCUAAAUCGGAUAAAGAUAAUAAAAUUGUAUAACUUGGAAAAUGCAAAACGUGUACUUUGAUAACGCCUAUAAAAGUACGUGAAAAUAACGUACGUGGUAAAGAGAGAGGCAACUAGGUUUAUACUUUUUAAUUUCAAAAAUUAAUAUUUAUGAAACUAGAAAACACAGCUAUAUUAAACACAGCUAAUAGAUUACUAGUAUCAUACACAUACUUCUAAAAAUUCGAAUUCUUCUCUCAACGUACUUCGUCAGAAAUUCUCGAACGCCACUAUUCCUAAUCCGCCUUUAUUGACGUUCUACAUCACAAAAUACUUCCUAAUCAUCAGCGACAUGGCCAUAAAUUACGAAGCAAUUCCAUUCGGUGCCUUCAUCACGAUUCGAUUCACACACCAAUGGACUUCCAUACUUUUCGCACGUUUCAUCUUCAAGUGUGCUGACGCGGGCGUUGUUCCAAACAAACGCGAGACCCUUAGAAACCGGAAGCUCCCUAUAAUUGGAAUCUCAUACCGUUCUCGAGCGCACGCUUGCGUCACGCCUAACUGUACACCAUACGGUGGAGACCAUCCGCACCGGUGGAUGCUAUUCAAGAGGUUCACGUUCCCGCCUACGCCAUAGAAAUGUUUUUCGGAGUUAUUCGUCGCCACGUUUGCGAUAUAGAAACUAUUGCGACGUUCCCCGUGUUUCCAUCGCUUCCUCGUACGGUUUGCCGAACAUCAUAAAUUAAACAAUUUAUGAAAUUAAAUAAAUUUUAUAUGGCAAUGGAAAAAGAUUUCUGCGUAUCAUACUAAACUUGUGAUCUGUAGAUUAUUGCUGAACUCGUUGUAGUUUUCUGUCGUUGACAAGUUUUUCAAAUUAGCGGUACCAGCUAUGAAGCUUAAUUCUUAAAAUUAAAAUAUACAGAAGUUGUAGUUGAUACGCAAUAAUUAGUUGUAAAUUAGUUAUAAUCGAGAUAAAAUUUUAUAACACAUUUUUAAAUUGGUUUAAUGUAUAUUGCAUUUCACAAGUAAUAUAUUUGAUUAGUAUAAAUGUUUCCGUUUGCAACACUUUCUUUCAUACCAACGAGUAAUUUGUCUUAUUUUCAUUAAUACAGUGAUUGCAGAAUAUUUUCCAAAAAUAUUAUAUCGAUAUUUCUAAAAUUGAUAGUAGAAAUACGUCCGUACAGAUUUAAUAAGUAGAAUGCGUACGUUAUGGCCAGACUUCGUCUCUCAAAUAUAUGAAGUAAUCAAACGAUACAAAUCGAAUAGUUCAUGCGUUGAAACACAUACAUGUUCACCAAUCCUCCGUUCAACCAUAACUUCCGAUCUAUACAAUAAUAGUAGUCGUCUGAUUUAUUUCAAUCGAUCCAAUGAUUCAUCUACCUUAUUCUUAUCUUUGCUAUUUGUUGAAUGAAUCUUGUUAAAUCGGAUAGUAUUGAAGAAAAUAUUGUUAUGGAACAUGGAAAGCAAGUGAUGUUAGGUCAUUUUAUCGAUAUAGAAGCAGCUGAACGUAUGCUGUCUAGAAACGGCUAAUUACUUGUUACCAACCUGUUCUCGGCUAACGUUGCGUCACGAGAUCGCUUAGGCGACUGCAUUGGAAACGUGAAUACAUACGCGGCUUAAAUCGCGCCUAAGCUAUACCAUUAUUCGAUCGAUUCCGUAAUACUGAAACACGUGAAUGAUAUUUCUAACGUUACGGCGUAUAAUUACUAUGCUAUAAAGAUAUUUAUGACCUCCAACGAAGUACCCGAUGAAAUCUUAUUACAGGUGCAUACGUGACCUAGUAUCGUGUAACAUUUAUGCUACUCCAUCAGCAAAUUGAUUGCAAAUUGAUCUGCAAAUAUUCGUAACUGUGAUAUUUAAUUCGAACGAAAUUGAUUAAUUCCCUUAGACGCCUGCAACAUCGUUUCUUGCAUAACGAUGUAGCAUUAUGAAAUCUUGCCCGAAGUGUGUACGUGAUAUAAUAUCACUUAACACUUCUAAUAUCCAAUGAAUAAGUUAAUACCGAAAGGUCUGAAGAUGCAUAUAAUUCUAGAAUAUUUAGUCUGAAUGAGAUUCUGAUGAGCGCUUAACCGAAGCUGAAUUUGAUUUAUUAUACUCUGAUAUUUGUAAUGAGCCUGCAAUCUGUAAGAUUACUUGGGAUAUCGUGUGUUGCGUGGGAAACUUAUUAUGCAUCCACGCGAAACUUCAAAGUGCAGAAAUGCAUAGAAUGCAUAUAAUGUAAACAAAAAUAUAUUAAAUAUCGAAGAUACCUGUUAUAACAUUUCAUAGGUAAAACAAUUGUCUACUUAAAUUCCAUUUUUCAAAUUAUAUGCUGAAGAACACGAACUUGCGUAAGUAUCGACGCAUAAUCGCGUCAAAUUUCCUAUAUGCUAUACACGACGCAUACACGAUCAAUUUAUUAUUAUUAAAAUAUCUACAAAUUAGCCAAUAGCUGGCAGACAUUCGAUUUGAUUAAUGUAUAAUGCGAACUAUUUGUAAGAUGAUACACGAUGAAGUUGUAUAACGAAACUUAAGCAAACAUGUUACGGGUUUAGAUCGUAACGGAGCUUUCUCAAUGUUCAACCACUUGUACGAAGAAUAAUGAUAUAGCGUUGAAACGAUCAUCGAUAUAAAAGUCCGGUUGCAUUCUCUCGGAAAGUGUGGCCGCGCCGAAGAUUUAUCGGACGUAACAUUUAACCCAUAUGAUAAAUAAUUCUCCGUUUAUGACCGUGCCGGGAACAUUCGUCUUCUAGAUGGAAGUUUGUCCUUCUUGUUGCACCACGGUACUCUCCCGUUAGCCGAGGAUGAAGGUUCAUCAAGGUCGUAUAACUUGACACAUACAGGUGGGAUGGGUUGCCACAAGUUGACAGCUGGCAUAUCUCCACGCGAAGGGAAAUUAUUCGUAUUUAUUACCACGUAUUAAGGAAAUUAUAGUUACAUCGUCAUCUUCCGUCAUCCUUCUUCUAUUCUUGCUUUCCUCUUUGCAUGGAUAAUUUAUUACGUUACCGUUUAGAACAUUUACAAUCUAAUAUUUUUAGAACAUGUUAUAUUUUCAAUAUUCUUGCAAAAUAUUUGUUUACUUUUCUUUUACUCAGAGUUUUAUUUUAACGAGUCUCAUUGCCAUUUUUAUAAGACGAAACUUGAAAAUAAUUUCAUAUAUUACGAAUAUUCUAGAAUAAUAUUCUCUGACCUACAGCACGGUAUAACACAACUAUCUCUUAACGGAUAAAAUCCAUUCCCUUUACACAAGCCUCUCUUACAACGCGAAGAACUCCAGACCGGCCUCGAUUAAUUCUAUCAUACAUCAAUUACAAUCACCAAUAACAUCCUCUAUAAAACCACGAACCAUUGGUGCAAUCGCUUGUCCAUAAACCCGUCGAUCGAAUUAUCCGAUCGAUCAGAGGUGUCUGUACACCUCGCUAGGAUAAUUAUUUCCACGCGUCGAACAGACCAAUGUUAUAUUCGACCUCUUCGACGAAUCGCUAUCGAGCCCUAAGUGUAUUUCGCAAACCAGGAUACUCUAUCUACUUGUUCUCGGUUAAAAAGAUUAAUGGACGUAGUAUGGCCAUGCUGGAGUCGAGGUCGAGGAAAAAAAGGUGAGAAGGUAACAAUGGUGUACGCAGUGAAAGAGUGCGGCAAAAUCCAUUUGCAUGGUCCCACGGUGGAAACGGAACGCUUGCGAAACGGUUGUUGUCGUAAAAGGUUCCGUGAUCGGAACAGGUGGUUCUACGGCGAAUCAGAGCCGUAACGAAAUUUCCUAUGGUCCACGUAGCUGGCAAUUAAUGAUCUUGUUUCACCGUCGACCGAUCAGACCAGCCUUGAGAUUUUUAUCUUCUUUCGUUCGACCCUCGUAAUGCGUUUUUCAUGUUACGUCGUAUAAUUUAGUCCGGCCUCUUCUCACCGUGCCUUUUAUUAGGCAUUGUAUCGAGCUCGUGGUUGUAAUUGCAUUGCGUAACGGUUAACUACGCGCAGAUACCGCGAGAUUUUAUUAGAAACGUUUAUGGAAAAUGGUUCGUGGAAAAUCCGUUUCCUCAGGGCGAUAAUGGCUCCCGCUGCGGGCCUCGAUAACACCUUACAAGCUGUUUGUAAACCGUGAUAAAGCAAGUUUAUAUUACGAUCCUCGCUCGUAAACUGAAUUUGGUUUUACGGGGAAAUUAACGACCCAGCUGCACGAUUAACCACGGAAUCUUAUUAAUCGUGCGAGAGAGUUGGUUUUGUCUGUUUUAUCCGUCGUGUGUAAGCAACAGCAUAAACUGGUUGUCUACGAUUAGGAAUGCCAUUCUUGUUGUUUCACUUUCUAUGUUUCGUGCGUGGUGAGAUUAGUUGAAAUUGAUAAACGGAACGUUUAUCCGGUCGCGUUGGCUUGUUCGAUAGGUAAGGUAUAAUUGCACCAGUUUCUUAUCUUUCUCUUUUUUCUAAAUAUGUAAAGCUCUUUUAUUUGCCAAUUUUUAUCACUUUAAACUGACAAACAGUUUUAUGCGAAGAAUCCGAAACUUACUAAAUUUGUAGAGUUGUAGCUUUCUUUAAAAUUCAAAAAUUCUCUAUUCUUUACUUUCAACGUUCUCGGAUUCCUAAUUCUCUACUUCUUUACACUUUCUUACUUUUAAAAUUCUUAAACUAUUGGAUCGGCAACUAAGUAAUUGCGGAUGUUGUCAUUAGGUGGUAUUGACAAAAUCCGCAAUCACUUAGUUGCCAACCCAAUACCAAUCCGUUACUUUUAAAAUUCCCAAAUCCACGAACCUCAAAAUCCACAUUAUCACGAUUCUAAAACCCAAGAAUUUCUUUCCAAUUUUAACCUUCUACAUCGAAAUUUUUCAUCUCUUACUUUCCAAUUUCUUACUUCUUUAGCCUUCAACGUUCUAUUGUACAUUCUACGCCCCUAAAUUGACAUAUCACAAUGCUGCGAUCUAGAAAAUCCUGUAGGCAGUAAUCAGAAGGAAUAGUCGACCAAGCCGGUGGUCUGCUUGGAAGGUUUCUGGCCCAACGGCGCGCACCCCAGCAGGUGACUGCGUAUCUCGCGCGCGACGAAUUGAUCAAGUAGAGCUUAAGUUUAAUGCGACCGUCUGUGGCAGUAAGCCGCGAGCAAUACUGGUGGAAUGGCGCAUUGCCUUUCUGUGGAACACCCACGCACGCACACGCGUGCCAGCCAAUAAUAUCUCGACCAAUCCACGCCCAGGUGUAAAACAUUCGCGUUACGUUUAUCUGCUCAUCGCGCAGCAGACGCAAGCCUGUUUUGGCAAUAUUCGAACGAGUAGACGGAGAGAAUGAGGAAGAAAGAACUUGUUGAAAGGGAUAUACUGAGACAUUUAUAGCUAGUUAUUCGUGCGAAUUUUUAUAUACUUGUAGGAAAUUUAAAAGCACAAAAAUUCACAGCCUACGUACAAUAUACAAUAAUGUAGAAUAUAGAGAAUCGAUCAUUAUGAUAUUUGAGCUGAUUCUGACGAUUUAACAAAAUAAUUCAUUGAUAGGUUUUGAGAAAUGAUAUAAUUUUUAUUUCAUACUUAUUCGAACGAUUACUCUUAGUAUUUUCUGUCGUUUGUGAUUUAUUAAAGUGGUAAUUUUUCAAACAAUAGCGCAAAAUUGCGUCAAAAUCGGUAUGUACUAGUCACAGAAAUCCUGGAUGAAGCUGUUUAGCAUUUGCAAUGUUUCAAAAGCAAUUAAAAUUCGGGCUAUCAAAAUUUUCGGCGAAAAAAGAAGCGUUUGUAACACUUUUAUAUCUAUUCUUUUUAUUCUUUCUCUUAUUUUCUUCUUCUUAUCUUACUCUUUUUAUGUAAAUCAGUGAUCUUGAAAUCGAUAUUUUCUCACGUGUUACCACAUUCUCGUUCAGUUCAAAAUUACGAUCAUUAUGCUAGAUAUCCAAUUAUUUCACCUACGCAAAGCAUCUGAUAAAAUCCACGUAAAAUGUUACUAUAUGUUUAUGAAAAUAUCUCAGAAGAUGUAGAAAGGUUCUGACAUUUACGCGACAUUUGUAUUUUUUAAAGUUCAUCUCGCUUCGUGUCCACCUUGACGAACCAAUAAAACUCACGCCGUAUCGCGAUACAUAUUAACCUUUCGAGCGGACAGUCGACCGAGGAAAGGAGAUCCCUCCAUUCGAUAGCUGGAAAUACAUCCGCGCGCGAGCUAGCUGCUCCGUGUCGAUGAAUCUCGAAAGAGGCUUGAGAUACCUGCGCGUGUCGGUAGCCAAUAGCCUGUUAAAUGGCCAGACAUUGACAUUCGAUGCGUUAGACAACAGAAACUCACGAGCAGACUGCCAAUUUUUAUGCAUUUUCAUAAAAUAUAAAUGUGCAAAAAUACGCAGAAUUCAUAUUGUAUGCGAAAAUAUAUAAAGAAUCUAAAACAGAACGUUCGUCGUAAUCUUUAAUAAAUGAAAAAAUCUUUAUUUUUCCAUUUUUCUUUCCAUUUAUAGACGUACGAAUUUCAAAAUUGAGAAGGAAGAACGGAAUGCUGAGAUAGCAUAGUGAGAUAGUAUAAUAAAAAAUAAAUUACUCGUUGGUUUAACGACCUUGAUAAUUCAGAUCGUUGAUAGUUGAAAAACAAUGAAAAAAAAAAAAAAAUGAAAUAUGUACAAACGCAUAAAUAUCCGCAAUCUAACGAUUACCGUUAUCGAUUCUCAAAAUAUUCAAGACUGUGGCACAAAGUUCGACCUCAUUCGGUUAUAUAACAUCGAGGCCUUUUUAGAAGAUAAAGUUAAUUCCGUGCACGAGGCGGAACGCGUUAAUUGUUCGUUCUCGGAAAAAGAGCAGGAGCGCGGGAAGGGUACCGAGAAUCCGAGCGUGCAGCAGGCAAAAUCACUGAACGGUGGUGACCUGCGGCCACGAACAUUCCGCGGCGAGCAGAUUCCAUGAAAAGUCAGCCAGCAUCCGCGCGCAUGCAUGCAUAUGCAGGGCGUGUCCAACGCGUCGCGACUAUUCCACGUAGCGAGAUACAUGGUGAAAAAUUAUCGCCAACGAGUGAUCGCAACAAUUGCCCAGAUACGUGUGUGCGCGCACACUUGGGAGAAUUAACCUUGCAAGACGCGUAACAGCUGAAUCGGAAGGCGACACUGAUCGGCUCGUGUAACGUGAUUCAAUGUGCGCUAUCGCUCAAAGGUACACGGUAUAUGGACGUUCCUUUCAUCACAAUGUAAUUUAGUUACAAAAUCACAGACAGAAAGAUUCAAGGCGAUUUUAUAUUUUAUUAAUGCUAAAAUAUAUUAUAUAAAUAUGACGCGAUCUCAAGGAGCGCGUCAACGGGAAUCGUAGAUUCCCGUUGCGAUAUACAAUCGACGCCACGAAACUGAUCGAUCCUCUAUUUCGUUUAGGAUAAUAGAGACGAUUGAAUUAAUUAUAACGCUGAGAUGUAUGUUGACCGAGUUAAAGUAGUGAACCCAGUGCAGAGAUGUUGACUGAUGUGUAAUCGUAGAUCCAGUAAAGAUCAAUGACGAUGCUGUCGCAGAGGAAAACUCUUGCUGGGUGUUGAUCGCCGCAGCACCAGUCGCUUGCGGGUGAAAAUCCCGGGAGACAUGGGAAAACCCACGUUUCCCCACUUUUUACCUGGUGGAGCAAUAACCAUAAGGAACAUUUUGACUCGAAGGUGCUUUAUACCACUUAACGGUCUCAAAUCGAAAUGCUCAGUUUUGCGACAGUUCCUUAUGAUUAUUACAGUCCAAUUAAUUAUGUUGACGUAGCGAGUGACUGCCUCGACCGAGGGCUAGAUUCCGGGCGACGCAAAGAAUCACUGGACGAAACAAAUAUACUUUCAGAAAUCAAUAUACGACGAAAGAAUUAGCAUUUUUUUUAUUUGGAUGAAUUUUACAAUCAAUUCUCAUUGAGAAUUACAAGUAAAUUUUUCUGGCGUGGUACUAUGUCGUGUUCAAUAAGUGUUUAUCGUGUGUUUGAUUCUAGUUGAAUCUGGUGCUUAAAUCUAAAGGGUAAUUUUAGCCUGCGGAUCUGAUCCGACGUGUCAAGUAAUUGAGUAACUAGUGGGUUUUGGUGGUUGUUAACACUUAUGUUAUAUCUCUAUUACAAGAAUUAGCAUGGAGAACAAUACGAUGCAGUUUUGCCAUUUAAUAUAUUACCUUCAGCUUGUUUGGAGAAAUGGAGAAAUUUGUUUACAGUAAUAGAAGAACUAUCCUAGAUAAUUUUGGUUUAAAACAUGUUAAUACUUCGACAUGUUGUGUAUUUGAUUGUAAUAUAUCAUCGAUAAGAUUUUAAAUAAAGAAAUUAUAAUUCAUAUGAUGUUA